rnacentral:lncRNA from 1 species
CACCAACACUAAUUAUUCAUGCAUAAAAAGUUUUCCUCUAGUGAAAAACUUCAAAACAUCUAGUGAAAGGCUGCGGAAGACAGAGUGAGGAAAUAUACAUGAAGAUGUGAUCUUAUGCGCUAUGUGAGGAGGAGUCUGAUAUGGUGGGUUGAAGGUGCCUGAGGUAGGAUUGAGCAUCUGUAGAGGGAAGUGGGACCCAGUGAAGUAGGAGGGACUCCCUCGUAUAAGCAACACAGAGAGAAAACUAAGACCAGUUAGGAAUGAGGGGACCUGAUAGAAGUAGCCAGUAUUGCAGGAAGAGGCCUACAUUAUAGAAAGAUGACCUUUGUACUUACACAGAAUGGAUCGCGGAAAAUGGGGCGGAAUUGAGAUUGCCUGUUAUCAGUGGGCUAAUGUUUGUCCCUGUUGAAAACAUACCAGAGCCUAUGCAAUGGUACUUGCCUGUUAUCCCAGCUACUCAGAGGCUGAGGCAGGAGGAUCUCAAUUUUGAGGUCCGGCUUGGCAGCUUACUGUCUCAAAGCAAAUAAAUAAGAGAGGGCUGGGGAUGUAGCUCAGUGGUAG